AUAUGCCACUUUGCAAUAUAGUAGACUCAUAUUUAUUGGGUGUAAAACAUCGCUCGCUGAACCUUCAACUCACAGCUCUCUUUGUUUCUUCAGAAAAUUAAAUUAAUUUUGAGUUUUCUAAACAGUCAGUGAAAAUAAAAGAGAUUCA